UGGGCGAAAGCCUGAUGCAGCAACGCCGCGUGAAGGAAGAAGGGUUUCGGCUCGUAAACUUCUAUCAACAGGGACGAAAAAAAUGACGGUACCUGAAUAAGAAGCCCCGGCUAACUACGUGCCAGCAGCCGCGGUAAUACGUAGGGGGCAAGCGUUAUCCGGAAUUACUGGGUGUAAAGGGAGAGUAGGCGGCAUGGUAAGUUAGAUGUGAAAGCCCGAGGCUUAACCUCGGGAUUGCAUUUAAAACUAUCAAGCUAGAGUACAGGAGAGGUAAGUGGAAUUCCUAGUGUAGCGGUGAAAUGCGUAGAUAUUAGGAAGAACACCAGUGGCGAAGGCGACUUACUGGACUGAAACUGACGCUGAGGCUCGAAAGCGUGGGGAGCGAACAGGAUUAGAUACCCUGGUAGUCCACGCUGUAAACGAUGAGUGCUAGGUGUCGGGGGGGAACCCUCGGUGCCGCAGCUAACGCAAUAAGCACUCCACCUGGGGAGUA
rnacentral:rRNA from 1 species